GUGGUAUUUGAGUUCUUUACAUAUGCCCCACUCUCUUUAGCACAGCAUAGACGCCUGCCUUUCUUUCCUUUUAAAUAACAAGAUCAAUAGUAUUUGGGGACCUGCAGGGGCGUCCUGUAUGACAGGAAAUUCAAUAUGUGGCUUUACAAUUUAUUUAUUUAUUUAUUUUUUGGUUCUUUUUUUCGGAGCUGGGGACUGAACCCAGGGCCUUGCGCUUCCUAGGCAAGCGCUCUGCCACUGAGCCAAAUCCCCAACCCCAUACAAUUUUUAAAAAGAGGCACUUGUGUCCCAUGGGCUACCCGCUACUGUGCCUUGUUAAAACCAGAACACAAAACAGGGACAGACAUGGGUACAGAACCAUAGUCCAAUGUUUACAGAACACAGGAUUAUCAAUUAAUGAAAAUGUUUAAAAACUAUACGAGCACCUUUUGUUCAUCUGAGAUUCAAAACUAGGAAAUUAGGUUCUGUGUGCUUAAGCCAAUGUAAAGAGUCAAUGGUUUGUAGAAAGUUAUGGUUAAAGUAUGGUUUCUUCUCUUCUUCCUUUUCCUUUUCUUUUUUUUCCUUUUUUCUUUUCUUUUUUCUUCUUUGGGAGUCUGAAGUGUAACCAGUAUCCAUGUAUCCCAGCCAUCAGUCCCUCCCCCAACCCCCAGGCCUUGGCCAUGUCCACAUUAAACAACCUUCUGACACUAGCUACUGUCAAAGACCAACACACAUUUUCACAGUUUCUGAAGUGGGGAAGGGUGAGGGCUGGAGAAGAUACUGCAAGCAUAGCAGUUGAUAAAGUGCAGUAUCGAGAGGUGCUACACAACAGAGGGGUAACAGUUCUUUACUAGGCCGCUGUCACAAGGACACUUCAAAAGUCCGUAAGAUGAGUGGAGUCAGCAGCAAUCCAAAGCAGAACAAGAUUUCACGUGACAUGUUUACUCCUGCAGAGCUGAUGUUACAUCCAUAGCUCUUCCUGUCAAGUUAGUUACAUACGUACAGUACUUCAGCUGGAGACCAAACACAGUGCCAUGAACUCCAUUUUCUGGGAGAGGAUUAGGGCACGAAGCCCAGAGAAUACUUACAAGCUUCUACUAAAUUACUUUAUUGGCGAGCGGAGCUGUAUUUAUGCUCCAUUUUCUUGAACAGCGUUUUGUUAAGUAGCUCGUACAGGCCUAGAAUUCUCUAUCUUAGGUUUGAACUUUUGAUCUCCCUGCUUCAGCCUUCCAGGUCCCGGAAGCUCCUGUACUAGGCUCUAAGGGGAGAUUUUCUAUAACGAGUCUUUCCUAAAAAACAAACUGCUGGCGACAGCUGAUGAUGAGGAAGCCCGAGCGCCAUUGGUACCUGGAUCCACAACAACCUCUCUACAAACUGCCACUGACCGGGUCUGGGGGUGGGGGCGGUGUGGGGGUGGGGCACUAGCUGCCAUCACCUGAAAGAGGCUGCAUCUAGAAGCUCUUAUACAACUAACUGGGUUCUCUUCAAGUACAAGCCACAUGUGCAUCAGAGGCCUCCCCGGGCGACUUGUCUAUAGCAAGCACUCUGCAUCCUUGGUUCUAAGGAAGCAAAAAUCGAAGAAACUUCUUGGUCCUGGGCCAACUGCAGAGCCAAGUCUCUUCAACAACUUUAAGAUGAUGGUUCCUAGCAUUUCCAAAACAGGCUAAGGAGAGAAAAGCUGGAGUCCCAUGUGCCAUGAACUGUGUUGUAUAACACAUCCUAGUUUUGUUGUCUUUUAGGCCACGUCAAGACCCUGGAAAAUUUUUCCAAAAAUAUCAUUUCACUUAAGUCCUUUCAGAUGAUAAAAUAUCUCAUUCCAAAAGUAUGGCUGAGAUUUUAAUGGUGGACUGCUAGUAGUGGCACCUGUUUUAAAAGUUAGAGUAACUAAGCCUUUCUGUGCAUCUCGCUCUGUAGUUCACGAGAACUGAUGUGUGGGGAGCAGGACAGGGAAGGCUGGAAAUGAACAAAGGGCCCACACUAUGGUGGGGAGACAAGCCAGUAGACAUACAGCUUGUACUCACUCAGGCUUAAACAGCCCACUGUAAUUCUUUGCAGACCUAGCUGCCACCUGCCACAGCCAGGGUUAGCAGAGAAGCCAGCAAGGCCCACACACCCUUCUCCAGCACUAUGUUCACAGGACCUUGGCCUGCAGAACCCUCACAUGUGGCAUGGGAUCGUACACUAGGCUCAGGAGGCUGGGAAGCAAGUGGUCUGCAAACUGGCCCACAGCAGCAGACUCUUCCCUCGCCACAGCCUGCAGACGUGAGAGCCCAGCAGUGACUUUCUCAAGAUUUCAAAGCACACAUACUUCUGUAAUUGUAAAGGCAUUACUUCAGAAUCUGUAGGUUUGAGACGAGAGAGGGAGGGAGGGAGGAGGAGGAGGGGGCAGGGGGGGACUUUUAAAUUUCAAGAACUGAAUUUAUAAUUUUUGUAGCUCACUACCAAGGAAUGGCUGACAAGGACUGCAAGGUCUAGACGAGAAACAUGGGCUCUGGAGCCAGGCAGGUGUAGAUCUGAAACUUAAACUGGUCACUCUGUGGCCUCAGGUAAGUUGUUUAGCUUUUCUUCAACAGCACAGCAGCUGAUCCUUUGUAACAAUCACCCUGCACUAAGCCACCAUGGUGUACACGCCUGGACAUAAGACCUUGUUCAGAACCUUUACAGCAGGCAGGGACUGGCUACCAGGCUACCCUAUAUGCUGGCCCCCGGCUCACACUUCUGAAGCCGGUCAUGCCUACAUGAGCUCAGCACUGGGGUCUGCACACUGUCCCUAACUUGGAGAGCCUAGAGGACACUCCUUCCUUCCUCCUCACAGCUGGUUCUGGAGAGCAACACCAGCCUUGUUUUACAGGUGAGAAAAUUCUGUACCAGUGUGGCGGUGGUACCGAAAGGCUUAGGACCAACAAGCGUGUGGAGACCUGAGCUAGGCACACAGACUCGGGUUCCUGUGAGUGUUCCCUCUAAGGGAAGUCCGUAUCAGGGUGAGUUAGCGCCAUGGUCACAGUGUCUCAGGGUCAUCACAGGCUCUGGAGCCAUGACUGGGUCAGACAGGCAUGGAAUAGCAUGCUGCAGAGAUGGGCUCUAGGCCAGCGAGGUCUCUCUGGAUCUGCCUCAUCACCCUAGUUCCUUCUUCCAGAUAGAGAUUAACAAGUCUGUGAGGUAGAGCCAUCUCAGGAGCACCAAUUAGUCCCUUGCAUUGUGUUUUUCUGGAUUUCCUACAUUUUUGAUAAUUAGGGUUUUUUUUUUCACCUCAAAAAAGAUCUUGUUGGUUUUUCUUAAACAAAAUGAAUUGAUAUCCUUUCUUGUUUCUCACAUUUUUCUAAAUUCCAAAAUUCCAGAUAAGUUGUUAAAAGAAAAAGAAAAAGAAAAAGCAUCGCUGUAGGAUGAUGUGAAUUUUGACGUUUUCCUUCCCAGAGGGCUGUGCUGUGGAAAAAUACCGGCUAUAUCCUUUUAGCCCAACAGGGGGCGCUAGUGAGUCCUCUCACUGCAGUUGUUUACCAGGCAGUCUAGGGGAAGGCUGGCCUGGGAUCACGGUUGGUUCCAUCAAAGCUGGCUAUUAACACAGCUCCUGGAGAUGGCGCCCCACCACCUUUGCCUUUGUGGUGCCAGAAGACUGCAUGAUAAAAUACCAAAAUGAUUAAAAUCAUAUUUGGGGGAACCAAACCCUCAAAACCAAAACCAUGGCUUUCCACAAUCUUGUGGGAUCCCGACUAGGUCACUUGGCCCCUUUGGGGUUAAUGCUUAACCUAAAACAAUUAUCCUUAGAGAUUAAACAGGCGUGCCAUCAUGUUCCACCAUGGUCCACACUCAGGAGCCAUUCCUAGAGAAUCAGCUGUGUCAAGAUGGCUGACAUUGAAGCCUCUACCCUGUGACACACACAUGCACAAACAUUUCCAAGGUGCUAGUCAGAGGGGGUUACUGAGAAGAAAACGUGAUAUAAGCUUGAAAGCUGAGGCAUGAAAAGGGGGGUUGCACUGGGGUCUGUGCAGUCUGAAACCUGCCUGCCACUCAGGCACAGGGAGGGCCGGCCCUGAUGGGAGAGCCGGCCGGCCCUGAUAGGAGAGCCGGCCGGCCCUGAUGGGAGAGCUGAUUUCAUCUUCAGUACACAGUACACAGUAGGUACCAACCGUGUCUGGGGUGUGAACAAGUGCCCAGGGUGACCGUGGACAAGAUACUGUGCCUCAUAGAGCUAGUCAGUCUCCUACAGGGUAAGGAGGCUCUGUAAACUUUCCCCAGUCUCUGUCAGGGUGAGGGAUCCACAGGUAGAUUCUCCGGUGGCUGUGCUAAUCCGGCAGAUGCAAGCAAAAGCCUGCCUUCCAACCCACUCAGAGCAGUGCAGCAACCUUGAGAUGAGCUCCUGCAUGCAGCUGAGCCCCGGAGCACAGGCAGCAUGGGAGCAGAACUUCAGCAGCAUCGGCAUCACCUGCGAGCAAAGUGAGAGGCGCCGUGAGGCUGAACUGAGCCGUCUGCAGGCUGCCGAGCCGCUGAGCCGCUGAGCCGCUGAGCCGCCGGCUGAGGCAAUUACAAGCGGCUCUCUCUCCACAGCACAGGGCAACCCCAAGUCCAUGUCCGCCUUCACAAUCAAUUUACAAGCAAGAGAAAGCUCCAGUUCUCACUAGCACACGCAGAGAAGCCUUUCAAUACGUCUUAAUAAUACAUACAUGCACAUAACACUGUCCAAGGGAGAAUGGUAAAAACAAGGGCAGGGAGUAACAUUAGACAAAUACAUCCAGCAGAAGGGGUCCAGUUUUAAAAACAUCACCUUUCAAAAUGAGUGCAUUGAUACCUCUGAGGGCAUGGGAGUUUUAUAAAAUUUCAUUAUCAUCAAGAAAUUUAAAAAUCACUAUUUUCAGGUAAGAGUCGUCUUCUGUGGGGCUGGGAGACAUCCGUAAACACCAGAAUUACCUCUUCUGCUUUGCUCAUUAUGAACUGUUCUACAGAGCUGUGGAGAAUUCAACAACAAACAUACACAUGCACAAACAAAAACCCUACGUUAUUAUUUAAAGAAGUUCAUAUACAAAAUGAUUUCUGCACAGUUCCCAUUAUGGAAGCAUAAAUUUAAUAACAAGACUAUUUUGAAAAUUGAUGAAACAAUAUAGCUUCUAACUGCAAAAUUAAAAGCUGGGCUUAUAGAGAAAAUGACAAAUGGAGCCCAGAAAAAAAAAAUAAUGGAGUUAAGAUGGAAACAGAAAGGGUGCUGUUUGCAAGAAAGUGCUACGGCCAAGGCCGGCUCCUUACUAGCAUGAAUGAAAUGCAGCGCACUUGAGAAACUCUGCGCACAACUUCAGGGUAACGUGUCGCAGGUAACCGUGCACGCCGCUGGGGUCGUACAGAUGUAAGAUCAGAAUCAGCUGCUGCCUGCAAGCACAAGCAGAGGGACCCCUACCACGUUAGUUAUCAAGCGGUUCCCGCUCCUUCCCUCUGUUGGCCGCGCGCGGGCGCAGCGGCAGCGGGAGCAGCCGGAGCAGCGGGCGUUCCGAAGCCGCCGUGUAUUGUGUACCGAGCGCUUUGUAAAAUAGGGGUUCGGGCGUUCAGGGCGUGGGUUUGAGGUUCCAGCGUCCGGUUAUGGUUGAAGCACACAUAAAAGUCUGCCCUACAACAGACCGCGUAAAAGCCGCCUUGGGCUGCAGCAGUUUCCCGGCCGCCUUGACAAGCCGGGGCGAGGAGCCGAGCGGCGGAUGGCGGCGCCCGCGCUCUUUUCCUCGUCUUUUCCCCCUUGUUCUUUCUCCCUCGUUUUUUUUGCACAUUUUUUCCUUCAUUUUCAUCAUCGCUCUUUCCCCGUCGUUCUUCUAUUUUGACCGCUAUCCCCUAGCUUUUUCUCCCGCUCUAUCUCAAUCUGUGUCCUUUUUAUCCUCACCACUUCCUCGCGCGCUUUCCCCAUUUAGCCGUCUGGCUCGCCCGCCCUUUUCUCCUGGCUCCUUCUCGGCAGGUUUUUUCCCCCUGGCUCCAUCUCGCUAGGUUUUCUCCUCUCGCUCCUUCUCGGCAGGUUUUGCCCCGUUUCGCUAUUUAUUUAUUUUUUCCCCUUCGCUCUUUCUCCGCAGGUUUUUCCCUCGCUCCUGCUCGCUAGGUUUUGGGUUUUUUUUCCCCCCUCGAUCUUUCCCCGCAGGUCUUUUUCUCUCGUUCCUGCUCGCUAGUUUUUUUUUUUUUCCCCCUCCCAUCUUUCUCGGCAGGUCUUUUUCUCUCGCUCCUGCUCGCUAGGUUUUGGGUUUUUUUCCCCCACCCCGGAUCUUUCUCGGCAGGUCUUUUUCCUUCGCUCCUGCUAGCUAGGUUUUUGGUUGUUUUUUUUUUCCCCCCCAACUGGGUCUUUCUCCGCAGUUUUUUUUUUCCCCCUCGAUCCUUCUCGCUAGUUUUUUUUUUCCCCCUCGAUCUUUUUCAGCAGGUCUUUUUCCCUCGCUCUUCCUCGCUAGGUUUUCUCCCCUCGCUCUUUCUCGCUAGGUUUUCUUCCCUCGCUCUUUCUCGGUAGGUCCUUUUCCCUCGCUCCUGCUCGCUAGUUGUUUUUUUUUUUUUUUUCCCCCUCGCUCUUUCUCGGCAAGUCUUUUACCCCUCGCCUUUCCGCGAUAGGUCUUUUUCCUCGCUCUUUAUCCUCGGGUUUUCGCUAGGUUUACCCAUCGCCUUUCCUCGCGAGGUCGUUUCCCUAGCUCCUUUUUCCCCUUCGGGUUUUCGCUAGGUCUUUAACCCUCGCCUUUUCUCGGCAGGUCUUUCCUCCCCUCGCUCUUUCUUGGUAGGUCUUUUUCACUCGCUCUUUCUUGGUGGGUUUUCUCCCUCUUUUUUUUUUUCUCUCUAGGACUUUUCCCUCGUUCUUUUCCCCCUCGAUUUUUCACUAGGUGUUUUCCCCUCACUCUUUCUGUCUCACUCGUCGCGGCCCCGCUCGGCUCGGGUGAGAGAGAGAGUGGUGUGAUUUGCACGCGGGCAGAGGAAAUGAAAAAGGGCGGGGAGGAUGCGGGCCGCGGCGAGAGGCUUCAUAUCGCUCCCGCCGUCUGCGGGGGAAAAUGAGGCCAAUAUCGCGCCGCGCGGAGCCCUUAUCGCGGCCGGCCACUGCAAUAAGCCAAGCGAUGGGAGAUAGGGCCCGGGCCGCCGGGGGGCCUGGCCAGCACCCGCCGCCAGGGGGCGCAGGGCCGCCGCGCCGGGCCCAGGGUUGUUUUUGCCAGUUCUUUUGCAGGAGUGUGCUGAGAACAUGACAUAAUGACUAAACGUCAGUCUCUCAAAUUAAGGAUAAUGAUUAAAGCUCACAGCAAAGAGAAAAUCUUCCAGUUUGCCCCGGCACCGGCCACAUCGUAUCCUAAAUAGCUGCGGAAGCCUGAUGGCUGUCUUCAGGAAGACGAUUAUUUGAGAUGACUAGUUGCAGCUAAGAGAAAAAAAAAAAAAAAAAGAAAGAAAAGAAAAAAGAAAACUAGAGAUACAGAAAUAGACCUCAAAAGCCUAAACGAGCACCCCACAAACAUAUAUCC
ensembl:lncRNA